rnacentral:rRNA from 1 species
UUGAACGCUGGCGGCAUGCCUUACACAUGCAAGUCGAACGGCAGCACGGGUGCUUGCACCUGGUGGCGAGUGGCGAACGGGUGAGUAAUGCAUCGGAACGUACCCGGAAGUGGGGGAUAACGUAGCGAAAGUUACGCUAAUACCGCAUAUUCUGUGAGCAGGAAAGAGGGGGAUCGCAAGACCUCUCGCUUUCGGAGCGGCCGAUGUCGGAUUAGCUAGUUGGUGGGGUAAAGGCCUACCAAGGCAACGAUCCGUAGCGGGUCUGAGAGGAUGAUCCGCCACACUGGGACUGAGACACGGCCCAGACUCCUACGGGAGGCAGCAGUGGGGAAUUUUGGACAAUGGGCGCAAGCCUGAUCCAGCCAUGCCGCGUGAGUGAAGAAGGCCUUCGGGUUGUAAAGCUCUUUCGGCCGGGAAGAAAUCGCAUCUCCUAAUACGGGGUGUGGAUGACGGUACCGGAAUAAGAAGCACCGGCUAACUACGUGCCAGCAGCCGCGGUAAUACGUAGGGUGCGAGCGUUAAUCGGAAUUACUGGGCGUAAAGCGUGCGCAGGCGGUUUCGUAAGACAGAGGUGAAAUCCCCGGGCUCAACCUGGGAACUGCCUUUGUGACUGCGAGGCUAGAGUAUGGCAGAGGGGGGUGGAAUUCCACGUGUAGCAGUGAAAUGCGUAGAGAUGUGGAGGAACACCGAUGGCGAAGGCAGCCCCCUGGGCCAAUACUGACGCUCAUGCACGAAAGCGUGGGGAGCAAACAGGAUUAGAUACCCCGGUAGUCCACGCCCUAAACGAUGUCAACUAGGUGUUGGGUGGGUUAAACCAUUUAGUACCGUAGCUAACGCGUGAAGUUGACCGCCUGGGGAGUACGGCCGCAAGGUUAAAACUCAAAGGAAUUGACGGGGACCCGCACAAGCGGUGGAGCAUGUGGAUUUAAUUCGAAGCAACGCGAAAACCUUACCUAGCCUUGACAUGUCCAGGAAUCCUUGCAGAGAUUGAGUGGGUGCCUUCGAAGGGAGCAUUGAACACAGGUGCUGCAUGGCUGUCGUCAGCUCGUGUCGUGAGAUGUUGGGUUAAGUCCCGUAACGAGCGCAACCCUUGUCAUUAGUUGCCAUCACUUAUGGUGGGCACUCUAAUGAGACUGCCGGUGACAAACCGGAGGAAGGUGGGGAUGACGUCAAGUCAUCAUGGCCCUUACUGGCUAGGGCUACACACGUCAUACAAUGGUCGGUACAGAGGGUUGCCAAGCCGCGAGGUGGAGCUAAUCCCAGAAAGCCGAUCGUAGUCCGGAUCGCAGUCUGCAACUCGACUACGUGAAGUCGGAAUCGCUAGUAAUCGCGGAUCAGCAUGUCGCGGUGAAUACGUUCCCGGGUCCUUGUACACACCGCCCGUCACACCAUGGGAGUGGGUUCUACCAGAAGUAGCUAGUCUAACCUUCGGGGGGACGGUUACCACGGUGUGAUUCAUGACUGGGGUG